GGGCGACGUAUCCCUCUUGGUUCCUCCAGGAGUUCGUCCCGUCGGUUGGCAGCGUGGUACAUUCCCCUCUCCACAUCGGUGUUCGUGUUUUCGAGAAUCUUUCAAUGGAUAUAGAGCGACAAAUUUUGAAAAGACAUCGAUCGUAACGAGGAUGUGUUUCAUCCCGCCCUGAGAGGCUGGCAAAGGACCGAAAAAAUCGAUUGAAACGAUAUCUCCGGGUCCUUCCGGAAUGAUGUUUUGCUGUGCCGCAUAUGAAUGCUGAUUCGGAACCUUGUUUCUUUGGCACGAAUCGCAUGAUGCGAGAAUCUGCCUUAUGACACGAUACAUCCCCGGGUAAGUAAAAUCCUCGUCUAUAAUUUUCCAAA